CAACGGGGUCCUCCAACUCAAAGUGAUUGGGUAUAUGUUCGCGAGUUCAAACAAUUCCUCCAACACUUCUAUUACCUCACGAAUAAGGUUUCUGACACCAAGUAUGUUACAGCCAACACCUUCUUGGAAGAGAUUGCUGAUGUUAACUUUUUGUUGGGUGAAUGGAGUGAUCAUGUGAUCUGUGGUGAUGAUGAAAUAUUUAAAUGCAUGGCUCUCAAGAUGAAAGCGAAGUAUGAGAAGUAUUGGGGUGAUCCUGAAAAGAUGAACAAAUAUAUAUUCAUUGCCGCCAUCCUUGAUCCUAGGUAA
rnacentral:rRNA from 1 species